rnacentral:rRNA from 1 species
UACGUAGGGCGCAAGCGUUAUCCGGAAUUAUUGGGCGUAAAGAGCUCGUAGGCGGUCUGUCGCGUCUGCUGUGAAAACUCAGGGCUUAACCCUGAGCUUGCAGUGGGUACGGGCAGACUAGAGUGCGGUAGGGGAGACUGGAAUUCCUGGUGUAGCGGUGAAAUGCGCAGAUAUCAGGAGGAACACCGGUGGCGAAGGCGGGUCUCUGGGCCGUAACUGACGCUGAGGAGCGAAAGCGUGGGGAGCGAACAGG